CAGCGAGUUACGAGGACCGGCAAGGUUAAGCAGGAAAUGCGGAGCCGAAGCGAAAGCGAGUCUUAAUAGGGCGAGAGUCGGAAUGCGUAGACCCGAAACCACAGUGAUCUACCCAUGUCCAGGCUGAAACACAGGUAAAAAUGUGCGGAGGGCCGAACCUAUAUCUGUUGAAAAAGGUUAGGAUGAGGUGUGGGUAGGGGUGAAAUUCCAAUCGAACGUGGAGAUAGCUGGUUCUCCCCGAAAUAGCUUUAGGGCUAGCCUCAGGUGGUGAUUACAGGCGGUAGAGCACUGAUCAGGAGAGGGACCUACCCGGUUACCAAACCCAGUCAAACUCCGAAUGGCUGUAAUCAAACCUGGGAGUCAGACUACGACUUAUAAGGGCCGUGGUCAAGAGGGAAACAGCCCAGAUCAUCAGCUAAGGUCCCAAAUGCCGUGCUAAGUGGCGAAGGAUGUGGCGUUUCAUAAACAACCAGGAUGUUGGCUCAGAAGCAGCCACCAUUCAAAGAGUGCGUAAUAGCUCACUGGUCGAGAGACGCUGCGCCGAAGAUGUCCGGGGCUCAAGCACGGAACCGAAGCUAUGGCAGAUUGCUUGCAAUCUGGGUAGGGGAGCGUUCUUAUCACGGAGAAGCGGUACCGUAAGGAGCCGUGGAGAGGUAAGAAGUGAGAAUGCUGGUAUGAGUAUCGAAAAGGCUGGUGAGAAUCCAGCCCACCGAAAGCCCGAGGGUUCCUGAGCAACGAUCGUCGUCUCAGGGUAAGUCGGGACCUAAGCCGAGGCAAAGACGCAUAGGCGAUGGAGAACAGGUUGAAAUUCCUGUACCGGAGCAGUCCGUCUGAGUGAAGGAGUGACGCAGCAGGGCACACGAGCAUGCGGUUGGAAGAGCAUGUCUAAGCCCGUAGCCCGUAUGGCAGGGAAAUCCGCCAUGCAGAAGGGUGAGAGGUGAUGGGGAGUUAAAGGCAACUUUGACGAACUCGUGAAUCCCACACUGCCAAGAAAAGCUUCUAGCGAGGACUGAUCCGCCCGUACCGUAAACCGACACAGGUAGGCGGGGAGAGAAUCCUAAGGUGCGCGGGAAAACCCUCGUUAAGGAACUCGGCAAAUUGCAUCCGUAACCUAGGGAGAAGGAUGGCCCCCGGUCAGUGAAGAGCAGAAACGCUCAGAGCUAAAAGGGGCGGCAGAAAAGAGGCCCAAGCAACUGUUUACCAAAAACACAGGUGCCUGCGAAAGCGAAAGCUGACGUAUAGGUGCUGACGCCUGCCCGGUGCUGGAAGGUUAAGGAGAGAGGUUAGCGCAAGCGAAGCUUUGAACUGAAGCCCCAGUGAACGGCGGCCGUAACUAUAACGGUCCUAAGGUAGCGAAAUUCCUUGUCGGGUAAGUUCCGACCCGCAUGAAAGGCGUAAUGAUUUGGGCACUGUCUCAACGAGGGGCCCGGUGAAAUUGAAAUACCUGUGAAGAUGCAGGUUACCCGCGACUGGACAGAAAGACCCCAUGGAGCUUUACUGCAGCUUGAGACGGAAUCUCGGAAGUAGACGCACAGGAUAGGUGGGAGGCUACGAAACAUACACUUAGUUGGAUGUGGAGCCGCUGUUGGGAUACCACCCUUCUAGUUCUGGGAUU
rnacentral:rRNA from 1 species